AUUGAACGCUGGCGGCAUGCCUUACACAUGCAAGUCGGACGGUAACAGGCCUUCGGAUGCUGACGAGUGGCGAACGGGUGAGUAAUACAUCGGAACGUGCCCGAGAGUGGGGGAUAACGAAGCGAAAGCUUUGCUAAUACCGCAUACGAUCUCAGGAUGAAAGCAGGGGACCGCAAGGCCUUGCGCUCACGGAGCGGCCGAUGGCAGAUUAGGUAGUUGGUGGGAUAAAAGCUUACCAAGCCGACGAUCUGUAGCUGGUCUGAGAGGACGACCAGCCACACUGGGACUGAGACACGGCCCAGACUCCUACGGGAGGCAGCAGUGGGGAAUUUUGGACAAUGGGCGCAAGCCUGAUCCAGCCAUGCCGCGUGCAGGAUGAAGGCCUUCGGGUUGUAAACUGCUUUUGUACGGAACGAAAAGACUCUGGUUAAUACCUGGGGUCCAUGACGGUACCGUAAGAAUAAGCACCGGCUAACUACGUGCCAGCCGCCGCGGUAA
rnacentral:rRNA from 1 species